CAAUGAAACAUGCAAAAACAUGGGAACAGCCACAAAGAAAAUACCGACAAACUACACAGUUGUCUGAAUCUAGGUGAACUACAUAGUGUAGGCUUGCUAGAAUGUGUAUGUUCUGAUAUUGACACCCUACAAUGUUACACUGAAUUCGAAACAUCAAGUUCCAACGAACCUUUGUUUAAUAGUACAUGGUAAUACAAUAAUUCUGGAAAGGAAUUCUGCACCUGGGGACUUUCAUGCUGCUAACCAACCUUGAAAUCAAACUGCUAAAUAGGGCUUAGUGCACUGGCAAAUCUUGAAGUCUUUUUUUUUUUUUUUUUUUUAUACCAGUGUUCAGGUUAAUGGGUAAGGGUUGGUAUUUAAAGUAUACUGCAGUUUCUUUUAGUUAAUAAUACAUCAUCCCAUGGGUUCUGAAGAAUCUGUCAAAACAAAUAAUGGCAAACUAGACCAAUGCUCCAUUUGGACUAGAGGGUGCCUUGGACAAAAUGAAUCUGGUUAUCCGUUUCCAAUGGACAGGAGUCAUUAAUUUCAUUAGGAGAGAUCUAUAGAACUGGAAUGCUUGAGUCUCAUAGAUGGUUUUAAAUCUCUUGUUCCAUUUAGAAUUGUUUCUAUUUUACUGGUGUUUCUCACUGUUGCCUGUAGUAACAUCAGGUAUUUCUCAGUUUUUAGAAUGAACUAUUUGUUUCUUUAAACACAGGACCCCACACCUUGGAUUUCACAGUCUAUUGAAAUCAAGGUCAACUGGAAACUAAUACUCUGCUUCCAUUCAUUUUGUGCCUUCAGAUUUCAACCGAAACCACUGAGAGAGGAUAGCCUCAAAUACCAUGCUUGGGUUUCAAUGCCAUGAGGGGUUAGCAAACGAAGAUGGCCGUCCCCGCUAUCGCUUACAGAAGAUGACCCACAUAGAUGGCUAAGAACUGAAUCAAAUCUAUUCUGACCAAGGGAAAAAUGCAACAAUCCUUAGAAAGACAAGCCAACAAGCUGAGCCUCACUAAUACACAGCACUGGCAGGUAACCCCCGGACCUCUCUCCAGGCCUGCUUCCUGUCCUGGGAGGCUCACUGUGACGUCCUCAACUGGGGCUCCAUUUCAAGGGACUUCUGAGAUGUCAGACUUCCAGACAGAGAUGGAGGGAGGGGGAGAGAGGUCAGGGUCUUCAUCAUCCUGACUCCCUCCCUGCCUGGUGGCCUUGAACUCCUGGGCCCCUCUGUCUGUGUUCUCUGCACCCCCCAGUUGGAUGGCCAACUCAGUACCACUGUAUUCCCGGCUCCUAGGAAAGGAAGGAGAGGUGGACCUAGUCAGGCUUCUCUGCUAUUCUAAUGGUUUCCCUGGACCUCACCUUUGUAAACAGCGUAUCCAUAAAUAAACUCUGCUGAAA